AGCCGAGGCAGCGGAAGCUGAUGCCGAGGCAGCUCAGGCUUUCGCUGAAGCCGCUUUGAAGACUUUGAAAGGAAGAAACUCCUCCAAACUGUUGAUGCAGGCAUGACAUCGGCCGGCCGGAGAAGACGGUGAUGGAGAUAUUCGUGAACACGACGAGAACAUGUAGGUAACGUAGCUGAUGUAUGGAGGUAUAUAUAUAUAUGGCUUUGUGUUCUUUUUUUUUUUUGGGAAACCUUUAGUGAUGAUUCUUUAUAUUUCUACACCUUGAAGUUGAACUAUAUUCUUCCUAAGACGUAAUCCAUUGCCUUGUUAAUUUUCUCUCCAAUUAAAUGUUUCCAGCAAUGGGGUAUUUUUUUGGUUUCA